rnacentral:rRNA from 1 species
UAGGGAAUCUUCGGCAAUGGACGAAAGUCUGACCGAGCAACGCCGCGUGAGUGAAGAAGGUUUUCGGAUCGUAAAACUCUGUUGUUAGAGAAGAACAAGGACGUUAGUAACUGAACGUCCCCUGACGGUAUCUAACCAGAAAGCCACGGCUCACUACGUGCCAGCAGCCGCGGUAAUACGUAGGUGGCAAGCGUUGUCCGGAUUUAUUGUGCGUAAAGCGAGCGCAGGCGGUUUCUUAAGUCUGAUGUGAAAGCCCCCGGCUCAACCGGGGAGGGUCUUUGGAAGCUGGGAGAAUUGAGUGCAGAAGGGGGGAGUGGAAUUCCAUGUGUAGCGGUGAAAUGCGUAGAUAUAUGGAGAAACACCAGUGGCGAAGGCGGCUCUCUGGUCUGUAACUGACGCUGAGGCUAGAAAGCGUGGGGAGCAAACAGG